rnacentral:lncRNA from 1 species
GAACAUUGUUGUUAGUAACAAGCAGAAGAACAACCGCUCCUCAAAAGUCUUUCGGUCGGCGCCGCUUCAUGGUUAGUAAUCAGUUCCAGGUUCAAUUGUUUUCACUCCCCGCUCACAGUACUCUUCCAGGUUCAAUUUCGUUAGAAAAGGAUACUCAACACUGUUGUUCGAUUUCGUUAGAAAAGGAAACGCAACACUGUUGUUUGAUUUUGUUAACCUCAAUUCCUUUUCAAUUUAUGAUUUCUAUUUGGUUUCAAUAAAUUUCGUUAGGGUUUCUAUAAUUUCUCUACUUAGGGUUUCAAUGAUUUAUCUACUUAGGCUUUCCUUCUUCGUAUGAAUUGAUUUGUCAUGGAAAAGAUUUGAAAUGUUUUUUGUGUUCUUUUUGUAGACUGGUUAGACGAAUAAGUGCAUAUAGUGUUGGUUGAUUGAAAGUUGAUUGUUAGAGGAAGGGAGUAACAACAAGAAAGAAUCAUUUGAGGUA